AAAUUGAAGAGUUUGAUCAUGGCUCAGAUUGAACGCUGGCGGCAGGCCUAACACAUGCAAGUCGAACGGUAACAGGAAGCAGCUUGCUGCUUUGCUGACGAGUGGCGGACGGGUGAGUAAUGUCUGGGAAACUGCCUGAUGGAGGGGGAUAACUACUGGAAACGGUAGCUAAUACCGCAUAACGUCGCAAGACCAAAGAGGGGGACCUUCGGGCCUCUUGCCAUCGGAUGUGCCCAGAUGGGAUUAGCUAGUAGGUGGGGUAACGG
rnacentral:rRNA from 1 species